rnacentral:rRNA from 1 species
AAANUUAGAAGUUCAAUGGCGAUCAGAUACCGCCCUAGUGCUAACCAUAAACGAUGCCCGCCAUCGAUCCGGCUGUGUUCCUCAAAUGACACGCCGGGCAUCUUCCGGGAAACCAAAGCUUUUGGGUUCCGGGGGAAGUAUGGUUGCAAAGCUGAAACUUAAAGGAAUUGACGGAAGGGCACUACAAGGAUUGGAGCUUGCGGCUUAAUUUGACUCAACACGGGACAGCCUACCCGGCCCGGACACAGGAAGGAUUGACAGAUUAAGAGCUCUUUCUUGAUUCUGUGGGUGGUGGUGCAUGGUCGUUCGUAGUCCGUGGAGCGAUUUGUCUGAUUAAUUUCGUUAACGAACGAGACUCUAGCCUACUAAAUAGACGUUCCGAUCAUCUAAUGUCGGACGGUCUUCUUAGAGGGACAAUCGGCGUUUAGCCUGCUGAGAGAGAGCAAUAACAGGUCUGUAAUGCCCUUUGAUGUCCGGGGCCGCACGCGUGCUACAAUGAAGGAAUCAGCGUGUGCUUUCCCUGUCCGACAGGAUUGGGUAACCCGUUGAACCUCCUUCGUGCUGGGGAUAGGGGCUUGUAAUUGUCCCCCUUGAACGAGGAAUUCCUAGUAAGCGCGAAUCAUUAAUUCGUGUUGAUUAGGUCCCUGCCCUUUGUCCACACCGCCCGUCGCUACUACCGAUUGAAUGGUUUAGUGAGGUCUUCGGACUGGCGCUCGGAGCGGCCCUCGGGUCGCGCCGGUGUGCCGGAAAGAUGACCAAACUUGACCCUU